rnacentral:rRNA from 2 species
UACGAAGGACCCGAGCGUUAUCCGGAUUCAUUGGGUUUAAAGGGUGCGUAGGCGGGCCUGUAAGUCAGUGGUGAAAGCCCUACGCUUAACGUAGGAACGGCCAUUGAUACUGCAGGUCUUGAGUACAGUUGAGGUUGGCGGAAUGUGUCAUGUAGCGGUGAAAUGCUUAGAUAUGACACAGAACACCGAUUGCGAAGGCAGCUAGCUAAACUGUAACUGACGCUGAGGCACGAAAGCGUGGGUAGCAAACAGG